UACGUAGGGGGCUAGCGUUGUCCGGAUUUAUUGGGCGUAAAGAGCGUGUAGGCGGCCAGGUAGGUCUGCUGUGAAAACUCGAGGCUUAACCUCGAGAUGUCGGCGGAAACCAUCUGGCUAGAGUCCGGAAGAGGAGAGUGGAAUUCCUGGUGUAGCGGUGAAAUGCGCAGAUAUCAGGAAGAACACCCGUGGCGAAGGCGGCUCUCUGGGCCUGUACUGACGCUGAGGAGCGAAAGCGUGGGGAGCGAACAGG
rnacentral:rRNA from 1 species